GGCUCACCAAGGCGACGAUCCGUAACUGGUCUGAGAGGAUGAUCAAGUCACACUGGAACUUGAGACACGGUCCAGACUCCUACGGGAGGCAGCAGUGGGGAAUAUUGGACAAUGGGCGAAAGCCUUGAUCCAGCCAUGCCGCGUGUGUGAAGAAGGUCUUCGGAUUGUAAAGCACUUUAAGUUGGGAGGAAGGGCAGUUACCUAAUACGUGAUUGUUUUGACGUUACCGACAGAAUAAGCACCGGCUAACUCUGUGCCAGCAGCCGCGGUAAUACAGAGGGUGCAAGCGUUAAUCGGAAUUACUGGGCGUAAAGCGCGCGUAGGUGGUUUGUUAAGUUGGAUGUGAAAUCCCCGGGCUCAACCUGGGAACUGCAUUCAAAACUGACUGACUAGAGUAUGGUAGAGGGUGGUGGAAUUUCCUGUGUAGCGGUGAAAUGCGUAGAUAUAGGAAGGAACACCAGUGGCGAAGCGACCACCUGGACUAAUACUACACUGAGGUCGAA
rnacentral:rRNA from 1 species